GACGAACGCUGGCGGCGUGCUUAACACAUGCAAGUCGAACGGAAAGGCCCUGCUUUUGUGGGGUGCUCGCGUGGCGAACGGGUGAGUAACACGUGAGUAACCUGCCCUUGACUUUGGGAUAACUUCAGGAAACUGGGGCUAAUACCGGAUAGGAGCUCCUGCUGCAUGGUGGGGGUUGGAAAGUUUCGGCGGUUGGGGAUGGACUCGCGGCUUAUCAGCUUGUUGGUGGGGUAGUGGCUUACCAAGGCUUUGACGGGUAGCCGGCCUGAGAGGGUGACCGGCGACAUUGGGACUGAGAUACGGCCCAGACUCCUACGGGAGGCAGCAGUGGGGAAUAUUGCACAAUGGGCGGAAGCCUGAUGAAGCAACGCCGCGUGCGGGAUGACGGCCUUCGGGUUGUAAACCGCUUUCGCCUGUGACGAAGCGUGAGUGACGGUAAUGGGUAAAGAAGCACCGGCUAACUACGUG
rnacentral:rRNA from 1 species